rnacentral:rRNA from 1 species
AUUGAACGCUGGCGGCAGGCUUAACACAUGCAAGUCGAGCGCAUCCUUCGGGGUGAGCGGCAGACGGGUGAGUAACGCGUGGGAACGUACCCUUUCCUACGGAAUAGCUCCGGGAAACUGGAAUUAAUACCGUAUACGCCCUUAGGGGGAAAGAUUUAUCGGGGAAGGAUCGGCCCGCGUUGGAUUAGCUAGUUGGUGGGGUAAAGGCCUACCAAGGCGACGAUCCAUAGCUGGUCUGAGAGGACGAUCAGCCACAUUGGGACUGAGACACGGCCCAAACUCCUACGGGAGGCAGCAGUGGGGAAUAUUGGACAAUGGGCGCAAGCCUGAUCCAGCCAUGCCGCGUGAGUGAUGAAGGCCUUAGGGUUGUAAAGCUCUUUCAGUAGGGAAGAUAAUGACGGUACCUACAGAAGAAGCCCCGGCUAACUUCGUGCCAGCCGCCGCCGUAA